UGGGGAAUUUUGGACAAUGGGCGAAAGCCUGAUCCAGCAAUGCCGCGUGUGUGAAGAAGGCCUUCGGGUUGUAAAGCACUUUUGUCCGGAAAGAAAUGGCUCUGGUUAAUACCUGGGGUCGAUGACGGUACCGGAAGAAUAAGGACCGGCUAACUACGUGCCAGCAGCCGCGGUAAUACGUAGGGUCCAAGCGUUAAUCGGAAUUACUGGGCGUAAAGCGUGCGCAGGCGGUUGUGCAAGACCGAUGUGAAAUCCCCGAGCUUAACUUGGGAAUUGCAUUGGUGACUGCACGGCUAGAGCGUGUCAGAGGGGGGUAGAAUUCCACGUGUAGCAGUGAAAUGCGUAGAGAUGUGGAGGAAUACCGAUGGCGAAGGCAGCCCCCUGGGAUAACACUGACGCUCAUGCACGAAAGCGUGGGGAGCAAACAGG
rnacentral:rRNA from 1 species